rnacentral:misc_RNA from 1 species
AACACUGUUAACCUGCGGUACCUGCGGAAGGAUCAUUACAGAGUUGCAAAACUCCCUAAACCAUUGUGAACGUUACCUAAACCGUUGCUUCGGCGGGCGGCCCGGGUCCUUCCCGGCGCCCAUCGGCCCUCGCGGGCGCCCGCCGGAGGUAAACCAAACUAUUGCAUUGUAUGGCCUCUCUGAGUCUUCUGUACUGAAUAAGUCAAAACUUUUAACAAUGGAUCUCAGAUCGGAAGAGCA